GACGAAUCCGUCGAGCGUUAUUCGGAAUCACUGGGCUUAAAGGGAGCGUAGGCGGCUUGGCAAGUUACUUGUGAAAUCACAGGGCUCAACCCUGGAAUUGCGCUCAAAACUGCCAAGCUUGAGGAAAGUAGGGGUGAGCGGAACUGAUGGUGGAGCGGUGAAAUGCGUUGAUAUCAUCAGGAACACCGGUGGCGAAAGCGGCUCACUGGACUUUUUCGGACGCUGAGGCACGAAAGCUAGGGUAGCGAACAGG
rnacentral:rRNA from 1 species